rnacentral:tRNA from 1 species
GGGCCGGUAGUCUAGCGGAAGGAUGCCCGCCUUGCAAGGCGUUACAUACCUAAGAGCGCGGGUGAUCCCGGGUUCGAAUCCCGGCCGGUCCA